rnacentral:rRNA from 1 species
GUAGGAUUCGUCUGAAGGAAAAUAGUAUCGUUAUGGGCGACGGGUGAGUAACGCGUGGGCGAACCUACCGUAUAACAGGGGGAGUUAACAACUUAGAAAUAAGGUGCUAAUACCGCAUAAGCCGCACAGCAGUGCAUACUGGAGUGUGAAAAAGCCGAGACGGUAUACGAUGGGCCCGCGUCUGAUUAGCCAGUUGGCAGGGUAACGGCCUACCAAAGCGACGAUCAGUAGCCGGCCUGAGAGGGCGGACGGCCACAUUGGGACUGAGACACGGCCCAGACUCCUACGGGAGGCAGCAGUGGGGAUAUUGCACAAUGGGGGGAACCCUGAUGCAGCGACGCCGCGUGAGUGAAGAAGUAAUUCGUUAUGUAAAGCUCUAUCAGCAGGGAAGAAUAAAUGACGGUACCUGAGUAAGAAGCCCCGGCUAACUACGUG